rnacentral:rRNA from 1 species
GACGAACGCUGGCGGCGUGCUUAACACAUGCAAGUCGAACGGAAAGGCCCUGCUUUUGUGGGGUGCUCGAUUGGCGAACGGGUGAGUAACACGUGAGUAACCUGCCCUUGACUUUGGGAUAACUUCAGGAAACUGGGGCUAAUACCGUAUAGGAGCUCCUGCUGCAUGGUGGGGGUUGGAAAGUUUCGGCGGUUGGGGAUGGACUCGCGGCUUAUCAGCUUGUUGGUGGGGUAGUGGCUUACCAAGGCUUUGACGGGUAGCCGGCCUGAGAGGGUGACCGGCCACAUUGGGACUGAGAUACGGCCCAGACUCCUACGGGAGGCAGCAGUGGGGAAUAUUGCACAAUGGGCGGAAGCCUGAUGCAGCAACGCCGCGUGCGGGAUGACGGCCUUCGGGUUGUAAACCGCUUUCGCCUGUGACGAAGCGUGAGUGACGGUAAUGGGUAAAGAAGCACCGGCUAACUACGUG